rnacentral:rRNA from 1 species
GAUCAUGGCUCGGGAUGAACGCUGGCGGCGUGCCUAAUACAUGCAAGUCGAGCGAACCACUUCGGUGGUGAGCGGCGAACGGGUGAGUAACACGUAGGUGAUCUGCCCAUCAGACGGGGACAACGAUUGGAAACGAUCGCUAAUACCGGAUAGGACGAAAGUUUAAAGGUGCUUCUGGCACCGCUGAUGGAAUGAGCCUGCGGCGCAUUAGCUAGUUGGUAGGGUAAAGGCCUGCCAAGG